rnacentral:rRNA from 1 species
AUUGAACGCUGGCGGCAGGCCUAACACAUGCAAGUCGAACGGUAACAGGAAGAAGCUUGCUUCUUUGCUGACGAGUGGCGGACGGGUGAGCAAUGUCUGGGAAACUGCCUGAUGGAGGGGGAUAACUACUGGAAACGGUAGCUAAUACCGCAUAACGUCGCAAGACCAAAGAGGGGGACCUUCGGGCCUCUUGCCAUCGGCUGUGCCCAGGUGGGAUUAGCUAGUAGGUGGGGUAACGGCUCACCUAGGCGACGAUCCCUAGCUGGUCUGAGAGGAUGACCAGCCACACUGGAACUGAGACACGGUCCAGACUCCUACGGGAGGCAGCAGUGGGGAAUAUUGCACAAUGGGCGCAAGCCUGAUGCAGCCAUGCCGCGUGUAUGAAGAAGGCCUUCGGGUUGUAAAGUACUUUCAGCGGGGAGGAAGGGAGUAAAGUUAAUACCUUUGCUCAUUGACGUUACCCGCAGAAGAAGCACCGGCUAACUCCGUG